CCUACGGGAGGCAGCAGUGGGGAAUUUUGGACAAUGGACGCAAGUCUGAUCCAGCCAUGCCGCGUGCGGGAAGAAGGCCUUCGGGUUGUAAACCGCUUUUGUCAGGGAAGAAAAGGUUCUGGUUAAUACCUGGGACUCAUGACGGUACCUGAAGAAUAAGCACCGGCUAACUACGUGCCAGCAGCCGCGGUAAUACGUAGGGUGCAAGCGUUAAUCGGAAUUACUGGGCGUAAAGCGUGCGCAGGCGGUUAUGCAAGACAGAGGUGAAAUCCCCGGGCUCAACCUGGGAACUGCCUUUGUGACUGCAUAGCUAGAGUACGGUAGAGGGGGAUGGAAUUCCGCGUGUAGCAGUGAAAUGCGUAGAUAUGCGGAGGAACACCGAUGGCGAAGGCAAUCCCCUGGACCUGUACUGACGCUCAUGCACGAAAGCGUGGGGAGCAAACAGGAUUAGAUACCCUGGUAGUCCACGCCCUAAACGAUGUCAACUGGUUGUUGGGAGGGUUUCUUCUCAGUAACGUAGCUAACGCGUGAAGUUGACCGCCGUGGGAGGUACGGCCGGCCGAAGGUUAGGUAAACGUUAACGAAAGGUAAAGUUAGUUACGGCGUUGAGGACGUGCCGACGGACGACGACGAGGGAGGAGG
rnacentral:rRNA from 1 species